AAAAAGAGUGUAUUGAAUAUGAAGAAGAAAGGUACAAAAGGAAAAUCACACCACCAUCUACAAAAACUUAAACAACUAUAUUUGUUCUGCAUCUUCUUCUUCCUUUACUCUUUCUUCUUCUUC
rnacentral:ribozyme from 14 species